CACUGUAAAAACAAACAAAUAAUAAUACUCCAUUUUCUUCAAGGCUCUUCCAGGCCUGCUGACAGCAAAGGGGGAACUUGACACUGCACUGGGGCCUGUGGGGCUUCUGCCCUCCCCGACCUUCUGGAGGCAUAGCCCAGGAGAACCUUCCAGAACACUCUGGAGCCCAACACUGUGGAGCUGUUCAGUGAGGCUCUGGCUUGUUUAGAAUUUCAUCUGAUUUGGGGUGGCCCAGGGGCUCUGAGGAAUUCUGGUCUCAGCACGAUCCUGGCUGGGAUUUACGCUCUGGCAUCCGUCACAAGCUCAAUUCUGGACUUGCUUCCCCUUACAUGUCUAUUCAGAUAAAGAUUUGGGGAUAGAUUUCAGAAAAAGCAAGGACAACACGUGGUCCCUUUAAGACGCG
rnacentral:lncRNA from 1 species